AAUGAACGCUGGCGGCAGGCCUAACACAUGCAAGUCGAACGAAGCCUUCGGGUUUAGUGGCGGACGGGUGAGUAACGCGUGGGAACAUACCCUUUGGUACGGAAUAGCCUCGGGAAACUGGGAGUAAUACCGUAUGUGCCCUUCGGGGAAAGAUUUAUCGCCAAAGGAUUGGCCCGCGUUGGAUUAGGUAGUUGGUGGGGUAAUGGCCUACCAAGCCGACGAUCCAUAGCUGGUUUGAGAGGAUGAUCAGCCACACUGGGACUGAGACACGGCCCAGACUCCUACGGGAGGCAGCAGUGGGGAAUCUUAGACAAUGGGCGCAAGCCUGAUCUAGCCAUGCCGCGUGAUCGAUGAAGGCCUUAGGGUUGUAAAGAUCUUUCAGAUGGGAAGAUAAUGACGGUACCAUCAGAAGAAGCCCCGGCUAACUCCGUG
rnacentral:rRNA from 1 species